AAUCUGAACGACUCUCGGCAACGGAUAUCUCGGCUCUCGCAUCGAUGAAGAACGCAGCGAAAUGCGAUACUUGGUGUGAAUUGCAGGAUCCCGCGAACCAUCGAGUUUUUGAACGCAAGUUGCGCCCGAAGCCUUUUGGCUGAGGGCACGUCUGCCUGGGUGUCACUC
rnacentral:rRNA from 1 species